GGCCCGCGCCUGAUUAGCUAGUUGGUGGGGUAAUGGCCUACCAAGGCGACGAUCGGUAGCCGGCCUGAGAGGGUGACCGGCCACACUGGGACUGAGACACGGCCCAUACUCCUACGGGAGGCAGCAGUGGGAAUAUUGGACAAUGGGCGAAAGCCUGAUCCAGCAACGCCGCGUGAGGGAUACGGCCUUCGGGUUGUAAACCUCUUUUAGGGGUGGACAAGC
rnacentral:rRNA from 1 species